CUUUCCCUGGGAACUAGGGAGCCCGGGGCGGGUGGCCGUCUGUUUGUCCCCCUCCCCGCCCCGUUGUCUCCUCCCCUGGAGCCCUAGGAGAGCUUCAAGCAAGGGGCUCUGGUGAAAUUAGAACCAGUGUUCUAAAUUAAGGGGAGCAGAUGUCCCUGUUUUGCUCGGGAGGCCUGGGUGGCCUGCUGUUCAGACUGAAAUCGUUGAGGCGCUGACCUUCCGGGGCUGCUGUCAAUCUCCGCGUGCAGAUGGCCAGCCUGAAGCCCUGCCUGCUCCUCUGCAUUGGAAAUGCGGCAGCCGGGAGAUCCGGGCAGCUUGAGAGAAAGACUUAGCACCGGUGUCGUCCCUGGCUUGGACCAGACUCACUGGAAACUUCUAUCUGAGCCCUCAGGAGAGGUCUGCAGCGCCAGUCUAAAAAUAGAGGACUGUGCCCACACCGUUGACCUGCCGUGACAAUAGAGGGCGUUGUGUGUCUCCCUCUCCUUUCGUCUGCACUGGAAUGAUUUCCACAGAGAAGCCCACGUUCAAGGCUAUUUCCCUCCCUAUGUAACCCUGAUGGAGGCCUCGCGAAUUUGCUUGCAUUGUCUCAAAAAAUGUACAGAUAUCCAGGAGACACUCAGGGGUUGCUCCAU